CCUACGGGAGGCAGCAGUGGGGAAUCUUGCGCAAUGGGCGAAAGCCUGACGCAGCCAUGCCGCGUGAAUGAUGAAGGUCUUAGGAUUGUAAAAUUCUUUCACCGGGGACGAUAAUGACGGUACCCGGAGAAGAAGCCCCGGCUAACUUCGUGCCAGCAGCCGCGGUAAUACGAAGGGGGCUAGCGUUGCUCGGAAUUACUGGGCGUAAAGGGAGCGUAGGCGGAUAGUUUAGUCAGAGGUGAAAGCCCAGGGCUCGACCUUGGAAUUGCCUUUGAUACUGGCUAUCUUGAGUACGGAAGAGGUAUGUGGAACUCCGAGUGUAGAGGUGAAAUUCGUAGAUAUUCGGAAGAACACCAGUGGCGAAGGCGACAUACUGGUCCGUUACUGACGCUGAGGCUCGAAAGCGUGGGGGGCAAACAGGAUUAGAUACCCUGGUAGUCCACGCUGUAAACGAUGAGUGCUAGUUGUCGGCAUGCAUGCAUGUCGGUGACGCAGCUAACGACAUAAGACACUCCGCCGUCGGGAGGUACGGUACGGCGAAGAAGUUAAACUAACGUAAAGAAAGUUAGUUACGGCGUUGAGACGUUGCCGACGGACGACGACGAGGGAGGAGG
rnacentral:rRNA from 1 species